rnacentral:tRNA from 1 species
AUUUAUAUAGUUUAUAAAAACACUUCAUUUUCAAUGAAGAAAUGAAUUAUAUAAAAAUUCUAUAAAUA